CCUACGGGAGGCAGCAGUGAGGAAUAUUGGUCAAUGGCCGGAAGGCUGAACCAGCCAUGCCGCGUGAGUGUCAGUGCCCUAUGGGCGUUAAACUUCUUUUGUGCGGGAGCAAUAAUGGUCACGUGUGGCCAGACGGGAGUACCGUACGAAUAAGCAUCGGCUAACUCCGUGCCAGCAGCCCCGGUAUUACGGGGGAUGUAAGCGUUAUCCGGAUUUAGUGGGUUUAAAGGGUGCGUAGGCUGUGAGGUAAGUCAGCGGUGAAAUGCCCCCGCUCAACGGGGUGAAGUGCCAUUGAUACUGGCUAGCUGGAAUGCGGAUGCCGUGGGAGGAAUGUGUGGUGUAGCGGUGAAAUGCAUAGAUAUCACACAGAACACCGAUUGCGAAGGCAUCUCACGAAUCCGCGAUUGACGCUGAUGCACGAAAGCGUGGGUAUCAAACAGGAUUAGAUACCCCAGUAGUC
rnacentral:rRNA from 1 species